rnacentral:rRNA from 1 species
CGAGCGGGGUUACUGCGACAGAUCCCUUCGGGGUGACGUUGCUUUAACCUAGCGGCGGACGGGUGAGUAACGCGUGGGUAACCUACCCUAAAGCUCGGGAUAACAGUGGGAAACCGCUGCUAAUACCGGAUGACUUUAACCUAUGGCAUCAUGGGUUAAAGAAAGAUUUAUCGCUUUAGGAUGGGCCCGCGUCCCAUUAGCUAGUUGGUGAGGUAACGGCUCACCAAGGCGACGAUGGGUAGCCGGCCUGAGAGGGUGUACGGCCACACUGGGACUGAGACACGGCCCAGACUCCUACGGGAGGCAGCAGCAGGGAAUAUUGCGCAAUGGACGGAAGUCUGACGCAGCGACGCCGCGUGAGCGAUGAAGGCCUUCGGGUCGUAAAGCUCUGUCCUUGGGGAAGAAGGUCUUCGGACUUGACGGUACCCAAGAAGAAAGCCCCGGCUAACUACGUGCCAGCAGCCGCGGUAAUACGUAGGGGGCGAGCGUUGUCCGGAAUUACUGGGCGUAAAGGGUGCGUAGGCGGCCCUUUAAGUCAGAUGUGAAAGGCCACGGCUUAACCGUGGGGUUGCAUUUGAAACUGGAGGGCUUGAGUGUCGGA